AACGAACGCUGGCGGCAUGCCUAGCACAUGCAAGUCGAACGAGGCCUUCGGGUCUAGUGGCGCACGGGUGCGUAACGCGUGGGAACCUGCCCUUAGGUUCGGAAUAACUCCCCGAAAGGGGUGCUAAUACCGGAUAAUGUCUUCGGACCAAAGAUUUAUCGCCUUUGGAUGGGCCCGCGUUGGAUUAGCUAGUUGGUAGGGUAAAAGCCUACCAAGGCGACGAUCCAUAGCUGGUCUGAGAGGAUGAUCAGCCACACUGGGACUGAGACACGGCCCAGACUCCUACGGGAAGCAGCAGUGGGGAAUAUUGGACAAUGGGCGAAAGCCUGAUCCAGCAAUGCCGCGUGAGUGAUGAAGGCCUUAGGGUUGUAAAGCUCUUUUACCCGGGAUGAUAAUGACAGUACCGGGAGAAUAAGCUCCGGCUAACUCCGUG
rnacentral:rRNA from 1 species